rnacentral:rRNA from 1 species
GACGAACGCUGGCGGCGUGCUUAACACAUGCAAGUCGAGCGGUAAGGCCCUUUCGGGGGUACACGAGCGGCGAACGGGUGAGUAACACGUGGCUGGGAUAAGCCUGGGAAACCGGGUCUAAUACUGGAUAUGACUCCAUGACGCAUGUUGUGGGGUGGAAAGCCUUGUGCGGCUGAGGAUGGGCCCGCGGCCUAUCAGCUUGUUGGUGGGGUGAUGGCCUACCAAGGCGACGACGGGAGCCGGCCUGAGAGGGCGACCGGCCACACUGGGACUGAGACACGGCCCAGACUCCUACGGGAGGCAGCAGUGGGGAAUCUUGCGCAAUGGGCGAAAGCCUGACGCAGCGACGCCGCGUGAGGGAUGAC